rnacentral:rRNA from 1 species
UACGUAGGCAGCAAGCGUUGUUCGAAGUUACUGGGCGUAAAGGGUGUGUAGGCGGUUGUUUAAGUUUGGUGUGAAAUCUCCCGGCUCAACCGGGAGGGUGCGCCGAAUACUGAAUGACUCGAGUGCGGGAGAGGAGAGUGGAAUUCCUGGUGUAGCGGUGAAAUGCGUGGAUAUCAGGAGGAACACCGGUGGUGUAGACGGCUCUCUGGACCGUAACUGACGCUGAGGCACGAAAGCGUGGGUAGCAAACAGG